GUGCUUACUUCAGCAGCACAUGUGCUAAAAUUGAAAUGAUAGAGGAAAGAUUAGCAUGGUCCAUGUAAAGGGAUGACAUGCAAAUCCAUGAAGUGUUCCAUAUUAAA